UACCCGGGGCAGGUGUGGAGUGUCUGCUGAGGCGAAGGCACUGCGGCUCCCUGGGGACACUCGUGGCCUCUCCAGGUUACUACAGAUGGGGGACAGCGGGUCCUUUGGAUUGAUCGCAGAGUUGAACAACAGAGAAUGUGUGCACAGUGCCAGGCACAGGUGUGGUCAAGAUUCACCUGGGAGAGGAAGUGGGCAGGGGCAGAGGAGUGUGCCCACCUGAGCUGAAAGGCUGCAUGGCAGGUGACCAUUAUCACCAGUGUCGCCAGCCAGGUCACCUCUCUGAAUUUUGUGGUUGCAACCUCCAUGAUUCCCUAGAGCUGUUUUUACCCAGAACUAAUGAAAAAUUCUGCACAUUAAAUUCAUGCUAUUAGAA
rnacentral:lncRNA from 10 species